CUAUACCUCAUCAAUUAUAAAUUUUAUUAGCGUUAUCGUUAUUUUUACUUACACCGUAAGGAGUCUCGAUUAAUAACAAUUAAUCUUACAAUAUUUUCGCAUCGAUAUUUUCGUUUUAUUUCUAUUCCACAAACAGGGAAUUUUUUUAUCUGUGUACACUUAGGUGAGAGCAUUAUAAUAUUGGCAAAUUGCCGUAUACGCAAUACAUCUAUAUAAAGUAACUAACUAAGAGAAUCCAUGAACGUAUAUAUUUAUUUGUAUGUACGUAAGACUUAUUAUAUAUAAAUACCUACAUACCUAUGUACGUGCGUAAAACGCGGUAUACAAGAGAUGCGGCUAAGAAACUUUGCGCUUAAUUGCCCCCUGCACGUUCAUUCCUCGAUCCUUGACUUGAUGCAUGCGAUUUUAUACUUGUAUGUAAUACGUACGUAUGUACCAGUUCUCUAUGUACUCGUGGCGAUUAUUAUACCUACAACCAUAUACCUAAGCAUGUAUACCUAUAUGUAUGAUACGUACGAUAAUUCAAAGAUUCGCGAUCUCGUGGAACUCGUGCAACUCGUGCACGCGAGUUAUCAUAUUUGAAUACAUAGCGGACGGCGUGAACCAUAGUUAUGGAGAUAUUUUGAUAACAUUAAUUAUCUUAUUAGAAAAUAGAUGGGUGAAUGAAUAAAAUUACGUUCGUACGGUGUACAAUUUACCGGUAUAUAACUAAUUGAUUAGGUAAUUAUUGAGCAAUUGGUAUAUGUAUAUUUUUUUCUUCCUUUCUCAGGAUAUACCUAGGACAUCAAUCGUCGUGUACGGGGCGAAUAUUAUAAUUUAUCUUUUGAUAUCAAAUACUGUAACACCGCGGUGGUAGACAUGUGUUCUAAUAAUUUCACUGACGUGAAUUUACGUUGUAAUUAUACCAUAUACGCAAGAAAAUGCAAGGCAUCAAACCGUCACUCUACAUACAUCCAACUCGGAAAACGAGCGUGUCGACUGGACCGAGCAAUUCCUGAUACUCGUCGAGAGAUCUCCAUUUUUCCGUUCGGAAAUGCGACAAAAUGGACAACACGUGCGAAGUUCUGUCAAAGAGCAGCAUCGCAAAUCGGACGGAGAACCCCAACGAUUUUUCUGAAACAAACGCUGUAUCCAUAUUAGAAUAAGACUGACACGUAACUUCGCAGUUGCUUGGAUUUAUUGUCCAGGCCCGAAAAUUGCAAAUACCUGAAGACUGUAGCCUCUGAUCCUCUGGGUUUUUUCCGUGUCGAGACCAAGAAUGCAAUUACCUGGACAAAGGAGUAAAUUCAAUGACAUGUCAUCAUUAGUAUUCGUCAACAUCAGGGUUGUGUUCAACUUCGAUUUAAAGAACAUGCUCCGAUGGAACGUCAAGGGAAAUAUACCCUAUGCGGAUUCGCCGACCGAUAUCCAUGGACCGACCGAUGACGAUGAAUUGUUCGUAGCUAAUUUACCCUAUGCGGAGUUGCCGACCGAUGACGAUAAAUUGUUCGUAGGAAAACGAGCGUGUCGACUGGACCGAGCAAUUCCUGAUACUCGUCGAGAGAUCUCCAUUUUUCCGUUCGGAAAUGCGACAAAAUGGACAACACGUGCGAAGUUCUGUCAAAGAGCAGCAUCGCAAAUCGGACGGAGAACCCCAACGAUUUUUCUGAAACAAACGCUGUAUCCAUAUUAGAAUAAGACUGACACGUAACUUCGCAGUUGCUUGGAUUUAUUGUCCAGGCCCGAAAAUUGCAAAUACCUGAAGACUGUAGCCUCUGAUCCUCUGGGUUUUUUCCGUGUCGAGACCAAGAAUGCAAUUACCUGGACAAAGGAGUAAAUUCAAUGACAUGUCAUCAUUAGUAUUCGUCAACAUCAGGGUUGUGUUCAACUUCGAUUUAAAGAACAUGCUCCGAUGGAACGUCAAGGGAAAUAUACCCUAUGCGGAUUCGCCGACCGAUAUCCAUGGACCGACCGAUGACGAUGAAUUGUUCGUAGCUAAUUUACCCUAUGCGGAGUUGCCGACCGAUGACGAUAAAUUGUUCGUAGGUAACUUACCC